AUUGAACGCUGGCGGCAGGCCUAACACAUGCCAGUCGAGCGGAUGAAGGGAGCUUGCUCCUGGAUUCAGCGGCGGACGGGUGAGUAAUGCCUAGGAAUCUGCCUGGUAGUGGGGGAUAACGUCCGGAAACGGGCGCUAAUACCGCAUACGUCCUGAGGGAGAAAGUGGGGGAUCUUCGGACCUCACGCUAUCAGAUGAGCCUAGGUCGGAUUAGCUAGUUGGUGGGGUAAAGGCCUACCAAGGCGACGAUCCGUAACCGGUCUGAGAGGAUGAUCAGUCACACUGGAACUGAGACACGGUCCAGACUCCUACGGGAGGCAGCAGUGGGGAAUAUUGGACAAUGGGCGAAAGCCUGAUCCAGCCAUGCCGCGUGUGUGAAGAAGGUCUUCGGAUUGUAAAGCUCUUUAAGUUGGGAGGAAGGGCAGUAAGUUAAUACCUUGCUGUUUUGACGGUACCAACAGAAUAAGCACCGGCUAACUUCGUG
rnacentral:rRNA from 1 species